UAGGGAAUCUUCCACAAUGGGCGCAAGCCUGAUGGAGCAACACCGCGUGAGUGAAGAAGGGUUUCGGAUCGUAAAACUCUGUUGUUAGAGAAGAACACGAGUGAGAGUAACUGUUCAUUCGAUGACGGUAUCUAACCAGCAAGUCACGGCUAACUACGUGCCAG
rnacentral:rRNA from 1 species